UACGAAGGGGGCUAGCGUUGUUCGGAAUUACUGGGCGUAAAGCGCGCGCAGGCGGUCUUCCAAGUCAGUGGUGAAAGCCCGGAGCUCAACUCCGGAACUGCCAUUGAAACUGUAAGACUUGAGGAUGAGAGAGGUGAGUGGAAUUCCCAGUGUAGAGGUGAAAUUCGUAGAUAUUGGGAAGAACACCGGUGGCGAAGGCGGCUCACUGGCUCAUAUCUGACGCUAAGGCGCGACAGCGUGGGGAUCAAACAGG
rnacentral:rRNA from 1 species